rnacentral:rRNA from 1 species
AGCGCAGGCGGGUUGGUGUGUCAGGUGUGAAAUUCCGGGGCUUAACUCCGGCGCUGCGCCUGAAACUACUGAUCUAGAGACUCGGAGGGGUAAGUGGAAUUCCUGGUGGAGCAGUGAAAUGCGUAGAUAUCAGGAGGAACACCAGUGGCGAAGGCGACUUACUGGACUAUUACUGACGCUGAGGUACGAAAGCGUGGGGAGCAAACA